rnacentral:rRNA from 1 species
AGGGUACCGUCAGGCCUAACGUGUAUUAUACGUUAGGAGGUUCUUCCCCUCUGACAGAGCUUUACGACCCAAGAGCCUUCAUCACUCACGCGGUAUUGCUGCGUCAGGCUUUCGCCCAUUGCGCAAAAUCCCC